rnacentral:rRNA from 1 species
AUUGAACGCUGGCGGCAGGCUUAACACAUGCAAGUCGAGCGAGCGGCGGACGGGUGAGUAAUGUCCCUGAAACUUCCUGAUGGCUGGGGAUAACUACUGGAAACGGUAGUUAAUACCGCCUACGAUCAGAUGUUCCAAGGUGGGAUUAGCGAGUAGGUGGGGUAAUGUCUCUCCUAGGCGACGAUCCCUAGCUGGUCUGAGAGGAUGACCAGCCACACUGGAACUGAGCCACGGUCCAGACUCCUACGGGAGGCAGCAGUGGGGAAUAUUGCACAAUGGGCGCAAGCCUGAUGCAGCCAUGCCGCGUGUGUGAAGAAGGCCUUCGGGUUGUAAAGCACUUUCAGCGAGGAGGCGUUACCCGCAGAAGAAGCACCGGCUAACUCCGUGCCAGCAGCCGCGGUAAUAC